GUAGGGUGUGUGCGCACGUAAUAUUUCAAAAAUAACUUAGCCGGUAUAAAUUGAGUAUAGUUUUGUCGUAAGUCAUUUGCACGAAGUUCUCAGCGGUAGGAUAAGCCUUGCCUGAUCAAAGCCAAAAAUUACAAACAAAGAUCGAGAUUCUUUAUGAAAGUGUCGUAGGUUUGUAAUCUGUAGGUUUGCUGCUUUGUCAACAGAGAGUGCCCGUGUUAAUACGAUGGAAAAAGCGUAAAAGGCAGAGUCGGGAUGAGGAUCCAACAUCGCCGAUAAAAGCUAGAGAAAUGAAGGACAUACUGGACGAGUUGAGUUUAAAAUGAAGUUACAAAAGAAUAAAGACAGGCCCAAAAAUUUAAAAAUAUGAGUGAGAACUUGGUAUAGUAUUAUAUAUGUGUUACACUAAAUCGUGAAUUUUGACUUUGUUUUGUGAUUGUUUAGAAUUAAUGCCUGAGAUUGCAGUGAAAUUGAUACUGAACAUAACCUGUGAAGUAAAUUGAAAUGAACAGUGGUAAGACAUUUAGAACUUUAAUAAGAACGUUUUUAGAUAUUUACAAAAAUUACAAACAAAGAUCGGGAUUCAUUAUGAAAGUGUCGUAGGUAUGUAUAGAAGACGUGCUAUUGUGAUCAAAGUUUUGCUGCUUUGUCAACAGAGAGUGCCCGUGUUAAUACGAUGGAAAAAGCGUAAAAGGCAGAGUCGGGAUGAGGAUCCAACAUCGCCGAUAAAAGCUAGAGACAUGAAGGACAGCUGGACAAGUUGAGUUUAAAAUGAAGUUACAAAAGAAUAAAGACAGGCCCAAAAAUUUAAAAAUAUGAGUGAGAACUUGGUAUAGUAUUAUAUAUGUGUUACACUAAAU
rnacentral:lncRNA from 1 species